rnacentral:rRNA from 1 species
UAGUCCACGCUGUAAACGAUGAGUGCUAGAUGUCGGGUGUCAAAGCCCGGUAUCGCCGUUAACACAUUAAGCACUCCGCCUGGGGAGUACGUACGCAAGUAUGAAACUCAAAGGAAUUGACGGGGACCCGCACAAGUAGCGGAGCAUGUGGUUUAAUUCGAGGCAACGCGAAGAACCUUACCAGGGCUUGACAUAACUAUGAAAAUCCAUAGAGAUAUGGAUCUAUGACUUCGGUCGACAUAGCUAC